AUUCCAGCUCCAAUAGCGUAUAUUAAAGUUGUUGCAGUUAAAAAGCUCGUAGUUGGAUCUCAGGGUGAGCUCAGUUGGUCGGCCUAAUUGGUCAGAACUGGCUGACUCUCCCUUGUUUCUGAAUCCCGGUCGGAGUUAAUUCUUCGUUCGUGGACUUCAGAUCGUUUACCUUGAAAAAAUUAGAGUGUUCAAAGCGGGCGUUUGCUUGAAUACAUUAGCAUGGAAUAAUGGAAUAGGACCCUGGUUCUAUUUUGUUGGUUUUGAGGACCAGAGUAAUGAUUAAUAGGGAUAGUUGGGGGCAUUCAUAUUUAAUUGUCAGAGGUGAAAUUCUUGGAUUUAUGAAAGAUGAACUUCUGCGAAAGCAUUUGCCAAGGAUGUUUUCAUCA
rnacentral:rRNA from 1 species